UACGGAGGGUGCGAGCGUUGUCCGGAAUCAUUGGGCGUAAAGGGCGCGUAGGUGGCCCCUCAAGCGUGCGGUGAAAGUCAGGGGCUCAACCCCUGAUCGGCCGUGCGAACUGGGGAGCUUGAGCACUGUAGAGGCAGGCGGAAUUCCGGGUGUAGCGGUGGAAUGCGUAGAGAUCCGGAAGAACACCGGUGGCGAGGCGGCCUGCUGGGCAGUUUUGCUGGACACUGAGGCGCGACAGCGUGGGGAGCAACAGG
rnacentral:rRNA from 1 species